UACAGAGGGUGCGAGCGUUGUUCGGAAUUAUUGGGCGUAAAGGGCGCGUAGGCGGUUCGGUAAGUCACCUGUGAAAUCUCCUGGCUCAACUGGGAGCUUGCAGGCGAAACUGCCGUGCUGGAGUGUGGGAGAGGUGCGUGGAAUUCCUGGUGUAGCGGUGAAAUGCGCAGAUAUCAGGAGGAACACCGGUGGCGAAGGCGGGUCUCUGGGCCGAUACUGACGCUGAGGAGCAAAAGCGUGGGGAGCGAACAGG
rnacentral:rRNA from 1 species